GGAGGACUGCAUGAUGGAGACCUCAUCCUCUCAAGUGUGGACUGUCUAGAUGCCCAAUUUUUGGAUGCAGGAAUUCUCCGUCUCCCGCUCACUGGCUCCUCUCCUGUCCCCCGCGUCCCUUUAGCGGUGACAGCUGAGCAAUGGCCUUCCCCGGCGCAGCGAUAAUUGAAAAGCAUGAUGGCUGGCUGCUGGUGAAGCGACCAUCUGUGAGUCUGAGUGGUUUGACCGGACGCACACACACACCUCUCUGUUUGGCGGUCUCGUAGUCGCCCUUGCAGACCAGCCUGCUGUCCUCCAUCAGGUAGUACUCAUCCCCUGUGGCCAGUUGCCUCUUGCACACGAUGCAGGCGAAGCAGUGCAGGUGGUAGACGAAGUCCUGCGCCCUCCUCACCACCUGUGUGGGCGGUAUCCCCUGCUGACACGCGGCGCACUUGGUCCCGAAUCUCCUUUUGGAAAAUCAGAAAGUCGACAUCAAUAAAACCAUAAACAUAAAUUGUAAAGCUAUAAAAAGGGAUAUUUUUGAAACAGGAUAAUCAACGAAAACCAUGUUGAAACGAGUCCUGGGAUGUACUCACUUGAAGAAAUCCUCUUUGCAGUAGACGCUGUCGCCCCUGCUGAAGCACUUGUCCGCCAGCUGAGCCUGGCAGUCGCUGCAUUUCAGGCACUUGCUGUGCCACUGGCGGUCCAGCACCUUGAGGAUGAAGCGGUCCACGAUGUGCUGACUGCAGCCCGCGCACACUGGGAUCUCUGCAGGAGACACGAGGGAAUCACGACAUCAGUUUUCAGUCAAAAAUGUCGUCGUUGGGUGAAUGUGGCCCCGACGCGCCGAAUGACAUCUGAACCCAGCGUCCUGUGCGUAAUGUGCGGACACUUAACAUACUAAUCUGCUGAUGGUUGGACCUGUUAAAUUAUGCAAGACCCUCAAUAAGCUUUGUAGCUAAAAAUAAACAUCAGCAGCGUUAAUAUUCUGUACAAAGAAAUGCGUAAUGAUAUUCCUUAUCAGAUGGACACAAAAUGUCUUAAAUUUGCCUUUUCUUCUCUUUAAAUAUUUGAACAUUUGGCCGUUUUUAUCUUAAAACAAUCUUUAAAAUAAUGUACA